CACAGCUUUUCUUCUCACAGGUGGAAAAGGAGGCAACUAUGCUCCAGCUUCAGACAGGGACAGUGACCAGAGCUCUGAUGUGUCUCUCCCAGACUGUAAAGCGUGAAGACAGCUGCCUGGUGUGGAUGGAGUGACAGACGAUGUGUUCAGGUCUCUCCUGUGACAUCCAGAGCCCCUCAGUUCACUCUCAGCAAUAGUGUCUGAUGUUCCCUGUGAUCCUAUGUGCUCAGUGUAAAGAACUGGGAGCCCAGCCCACCCCUGCACACCUGACCCUGUCCCUGCACUGCCCUGUUCCCUUCCACAGCCAACCUUCCUGUUCCUGCAGACAGGAGGGGACAUCUCCAUCCUGUCUCCUCCAUGCUGCCCUGAGCUGCAGCCCUGACUUCCCCACUGAAAAUAAGAAUCUGAAAGUGAACUUGAUUGUUCAUGUCCUAGAUCUCAAAGGUUGAUUGGCGGUAAAAUAAAGGAUUGAGAUAGAGUUUAUGGAGGAAAUAAAUGGCAGCGUGGAGAACCUC